AUGCCAACUUAUGGUUACUUACGUUUUACUCCUGUUUGCUACAGGUGAAAUGGGUGAAUAUCAGACAGCUCAUUAUAGAGACAAGCAUGCUGCAUUCCCGGAGUAGGAUGACAGAACAAGUCAUGGUACCAUCUAAAGGAGUUAGAUGAUGCCCACAUUACUGCUAUAACCUAGAAGAUGUUUGGCCGUCUGGAGACAUCAACAAGCCCUCAGAUUGGACAAAGGAAGGUUCCCAGCAGGCUCGCUUUUUCAGUUAACAUGAAAGAGUGCCAAAUUGCAAGUCUGUGGAUUUGAAACCAUCAGGAAGAUGUCACAUUGGUAUGAGUAUUCUUCAGCGAUAAGAACAGUAAUUGUUGCAGGGAGACUUCUUAAUCUUGGGUCACUCAAAUCCCUUUUAAAGACAGCAGGUGCUCUCCAGAACAAGCAUUAACAAGAAGAGAUUAUGAGAUCUUCUGCAGAAGGAAAAUGACAUCCCUGGUGAAGCCUACAAUGUCAUUGACUCUGAAGAAGGACUCAGAGACCCAUUGGUGUUUAAUGACCCUUAUUGGCCUGCACAAAAGAAACUGACAGGACCAAAAAGAUAUCCUGGGAAUCAGGACCAGUGAACCUCACCUUACUUCUGGGGAAACUGAUUGAGAGCCUAAUUAAGGACAGAAUUGUUCAUCACAUGGAUAAGUAUAACCUAACGGGGUCAAACCUGCACAACGUCAGUAAAGGGUGAAAAAAAGAAGCCAUGAGAAGCCAGCAUAAGAAGUGCAAAUUGAGCAACGCCGCAGAAAUAUUAAUUAAAAGAGUGACCUGAUAAACAAGAAGCAAUAAUCUACUGUGUCGUUCUCCACUACACUACAAAAUCCUGGAUGCUGAAAGGAAACAUUCAGUGCAAGAGUUUUCCAGAGAACUGCUUCUCUGCAAAUAAUAGCUAACAACAUGUAGACGGCAUGAAACACACAAUCUUCGUAAUCUGCCACCGAGAUGCAAAUGUGGGUUAAGAAACAUUUAAUCCACCACAGUUGUGUGAAAACUCCAUCCAAAAAUUGCAGAAAUUUAAUAAAAGUAUCUUAUAGUGCUUGGAUGACAGCUGGGAUGUUCACAGUCUGGACAGUAGAGCAUUUUCAGUCCUGGUUGGAAUGCCAGCAGAGAGAGAUUUCAUGCAGUAUUUUUCUGAGCAACUGAUAUUUUUUUAUUUUUUCUUUUUUGUGGAAGUGGUGGGCUGUAAAAUGAUACUUCACAGCAGAGAUCAUUGUUGUGGGUGAGUAAAAUGUUGGUUCUCAAUUACCCAAUACUAUAGAAAUGCAAAGUCCCAAACUAAACAGCCGGAUUAAGACUAACAAUCUAACAGGAACCUGACUCCCAGCAACACACAAGAGCUGCCCUGCCACAUCUUGAUAUAUAUGUAUAUAUAUAUAUAGGGAAUUAAGCAGAGAGUGACAACUUAACUUGGAAUUUGUUUUCCCUUUCCUCUGUCAAAUUUGUUAAGUUUCUCUUAACCCUUCAGUGCUGCCAACUGGUGUUUUGUCAGCUACAGUUUUAGGAGAAUGUCAGCACAUUCUCGAUGAUUUUGGUUGCCAUGGAUAAGUGUAUUUCUUUGAUUUUUCUGGGACAUUGUGUAUUAAUAAACAGGGU